UCAAAACAGUGACAAAACGGCAUCGGGUUUCCAGGAGAUACGCCAAUUUUUAGCUAUCGGAAUCUUCUACAAAAUCAUGUUUACUUUGAUUUUAGUGCUACGACGCGCACUAUCGGAUCUUAUCCAGAAUCGGUUGGCGCAACAGACCACCCGGUAGUAGGACAAAGAUUCGAUAGUAAGUAAUAUCGCUGAUCAUAUGGAGCCGUAUAUCAGUUGGGUGAUUGGUUGAUCCAUGGCUCUUUGCGAAGCCUACUGCCGACCUACCACGGGAUAUCAAAUUACCUUUUAAAAAUGAUUCUGAUAUUACACCAGACAAGCAAGCCCAGCCAGAUUUCAGCAACCACUGUACCACAAAUGGAUUGACGUCAGAAAGUAAUUGCAAGCGCACUUUGCACAAUCCGAAUCCACCAUUAGCAUUUGAUUCGGCGAGUACAUCAUGAAUGUCUCAUCACAAUGCGGUGUGGAGGAGUAAACCGGAUAGAGCGGUAAGUAGUAGUUAGCCGGUAAGCAGUUAGUAGAUUCGUCUUCAUUGUUGGUGCUUAGAUAUGCCAACUGAUUCUUCAUUGAGCUGUGCAUUCAUGUAUCCCGUCCAAAAAAUAGUAUGUGCGCGGUAUAUUCCUGGCUAAAACGAGUCCGGGUCGACCCGUAAGUGCAACAAAGCAUACGCGAGUGAGUUCGACGAUUUCGGUCUAAUCCAAGGGUCGUCCGUUAUCGUGCCGGGUCGACCCGAACUCGUUACAUCCACGGGUCGACGGGUCGAACUCGCGUGUGCUUUGCUACACCUACGUGUCGGUCCGGACUCGUUGCACCCAAGGGUCGAACUCAACUCCUCCGGGUCGAUCCGUGAAAAAAGUCGUAUGACCCAUCACUAUAAGAAUCCUGAUCCUAGUAGGCAGUGCGUUCAUAUGUUCAAAAAUCACGUUAAAGCGACCGCAUCGCUUACACGCGUACGGUAAACCGAGUUGUAUUUUAAAGUCAUGUUUGUUUGGUUUUAAAAGAUUCAUACUAAGUUGUCUUGUCAUUAUGGGGUUACAGUUUUUUUUACUAAAGAUGAGUCGUGUGAUUUCGUGUGUCGUCUUUGUGUCGAUGUUUUGAUAGUUAUUGAUAGAGUAGUUGGAAAAGGUAUUUUUUUAUUAAAUUCAGUAUGUUGGAGAUUCCUUCGUAAAUACUUUGGCUAGGAACUGAGCAUUUGUUGAAGAGUAAGCUAUACUUAGAAGUGCACUUUUCCGUUCUAAAGUUUUUGUUUUUUUUUAUUUACAAAUAUAUCACUCCUACCGUUGAAUAGCGUCUUCUAAAACCAAAGCUGAUAUUUGGCAGUUGUAAGUGUAUUGUUGAUUUUUGCAGAGGAUAGUUUAAUAUACCUGAGCCCUUUUUAACAUCCUUUACAUUGAUUGUUCAACAACGAUUGGGCAGCCGGUACGAAUACUUCGGAAGGGAAAUCCAAUGUUUGGUGUCUUCACAGGCUUUCGACGCUCCUUUUCAAUAAAGAAUCUUUCGACCAUUCCAUGUGGUAAGCAGUUGUUGAAAUAUGAUGUGUUCCACGCAACUUAAAUAAAUAACUCAUUUCCUAAGAUGGAGAUGGUAAUGCACCUACGAUGUCCAUAUGCACAUCCUCCAACGUACCUUUUGAGCUUGCUAUUGUAUCCAAGGGCGAGCAAGUAUGACGGUAGCCUCUCGAAGGUAGAUUUCUUUAGUGAAUUAAAGGACUUAAAAUCUGUUUAUCACAUGCCCACGUACACUGGUCUUUGGUCCUUCUCCGCCAGACUUGCUAUCACUCAUGUCUGUGUGGAUAGGGUCGUUACAGUUCCAACAUGUUUUUAUGAUUUGACACUAUUUUUUGAGUGUCCUAGCCUCGUGCAUUUCAUAUACCGCAUGGGACUAAUGUCCACUUUAACUGUGUAUGAUCCUAAAUCUACGCUUCUGCUGAUAUUGCCCGUGGUGAACGUGACAAUCGCCUAUCUAGUAUUUACCAGAUUGUCAUUUAUUAUGCCUUUAAUUAUUAGGACUUAGUAACUUUUUGGCUUUAUGGAGGUACAUCUCCAAAAUUUCUUCUUCUUCCUUAAAUUCGAUAUCGGGGUACGCAUCACAUCUUUCUGCGAGUUAAGUGCUGAGUGUUCCGAUACUUAAACCUGGAU